GCCCACUGAAAUUUUUAAAUGGCCGCAGUAAUUUGACUGUGCAAAGGUAGCAUAAUCAUUAGUUUUUUAAUUAAAAGCUUGUAUGAAAGGUUGGACGAAGUAAAAUCUGUCUCUAUUUAAUUUAAAUUAGAAUUUAAUUUUUAAGUUAAAAAGCUUAAAUUUUAAUAAAAGACGAGAAGACCCUAUAGAACUUUAUAAUUUAUUUUAAUAUUAAUAAAUUAAGAUUUAUUUAAGUUUUAUUAAUUAAAUUAUUUUAUUGGGGUAAUAAAAAGAUUAAACAAAUUCUUUUUUAUAAUUAACAUUUAUUUAUGGUUAUAAAUGAUCCAUUUUUAGUGAUUAUAAGAUUAAGUUACCUUAGGGAUAACAGCGUAAUUUUUUUGGAGAGUUCAUAUCGAUAAAAAAGUUUGCGACCUCGAUGUUGGAUUAAAGAUUAUUUUAGGUGUAGAAGUUUAAAUUUUUGGUCUGUUCGACCAUUAAAUCUUUACAUGAUCUGAGUUCAGACCGGUGUAAGCCAGGUCGGUUUCUAUCUUUAUUAUAUUUAAAUAUUUUAGUACGAAAGGACCAAAUAUUUGAUAUAUUUAUAUUUUAUAUUUUGAAUAUUAAUAUUAUUUUGGCAGAUUAGUGCAAUAGAUUUAGAAUUUAUAAAUGUAAGUUAUAUUACAAAUAAUACUUGUUUUAUAUAGAUUUAUUAUUUUCUUUAAUUUGUAUAUUAUUAUUAUUAAUUUGUGUUUUAGUGGGGGUUGCUUUUUUAACUUUAUUAGAACGUAAAGUAUUAGGAUAUA
rnacentral:rRNA from 1 species